rnacentral:rRNA from 1 species
GUAGGGAAUAUUGGACAAUGGGGGCAACCCUGAUCCAGCGACGCCGCGUGAGUGAUGAAGGCCUUCGGGUCGUAAAGCUCUGUUGCAGGGGAAGAACACAAUGACGGUACCCUGCUAGAAAGGAUCGGCUAACUUCGUGCCAGCAGCCGCGGUAAGACGAGGGAUCCUAGCGUUGUUCGGAAUUAUUGGGCGUAAAGCGGGUGCAGGUGGCUUGGUAAGUCAGAUGUGAAAGCCUGGGGCUUAACCCCAGAAGUGCAUUUGCUACUGCUGAGCUUGAGUGCUGGAGAGGCUAGUAGAAUUCCUGGUGUAGUGGUGAAAUACGUAGAUAUCAGGAGGAAUACCGGAGGCGAAGGCGGAUAGCUGGCCAGACACUGACACUCAGACCCGAAAGCGUGGGGAUCAAACAGGAUUAGAAACCCCGGUAGUCC